UAUUAAAAUUUUCAUCAAUUUUUAUUAUAAAAAAUUAGCGUGACUGACAGAAUAACAAGAUAAUUAAAUAUGGCGUGCCACUUGUACCUUAUGUUAACAUACAAAGAUCAAUUUUUAACAGUAAAAAUGGAUAGAAUUUUUAACA
rnacentral:pre_miRNA from 1 species